ensembl:lncRNA
GGGCACAUUUGCAUUUUGAGAAAUCAUUCUGAGAGGAUGGGUGGGAAGUUGGUGGGAGCAGAAGCAAGGGAAGCCAGGUGGGAGGCUGAAGCAAAUGCUUGAUGGUAUAAAAUAUAAAGUACCAUGAAUGUGCCAUUUGGCUGGGCUACACCAAGCAUAAACGUGAGGUAUGGGGUCAAAAAGGUAGACCAUCACCCAGGGUGAGGGGUGAGGGGGCAGUAGAGGGUUCUUUGGGAAUGAUGAAAUGUUCUAAGAUUGUGGCAAUGCUUGUGACACUCUGUGUUUUUGCACUCACGCUCGGUCGUGUCCGACUCUUUGUGAUCCCAUGGACUGUAGCCCACCAGGCUCUCUUCCAUCCAUGGAAUUUUCCAGGGUGGACUCCCUGCCUUCGGCCCCUGGUGCAGAGCGGUGUGGCGUCCUGUCUCCCAGCCUGAGGUGCAGUGCUGCAUCUCUGGUCAGUUGGGAGUCUGAGAUGAAGCACUGUAGCUCGGGAAGGGAGAAGUUGUUCUACAGCCGUCGCCAGAAGUGGUAAGUGGUAUGGUGCCUGCAGGCACCAGGAAGGACGGGAGUGUUUCCAUUCUCCAGAAUGUCCGCUGAGGAAGCACUGGACUUGAGUCCUAUCUGUGCCACUAUCUGCUUCAUGUUUCUGGGCAAGUCCUGACUCCUCUGUGCACCGCAGUUUGUUCAUGUGUAAUAUGAGAUUUUGGAGCAUUUGGUGGUGGCCAUUACCCAGUACCCUGACUCUGCUUUCUCCUGAGCCCAUGGCAGACAUGGCUAAUCAGUCAAGGCAUCCUUUCCUAAAGCAUUCAGAUGCGGCUUCAGAAUCCUUCUUAAUGCUAAGUCCUAGAGAGCUGCUAUUGAUUCAAAGCUGAAACACUUCAUCAUUUGUGAACUGGUCAAUUCCUAAAAAAUCUUUCAGACUAAAGACAAAGUCCUGGGCUCUGAGUCCAGCUCUUUACUCUUUGAGGUGUUGCCUAAAAUAAUCCAGGCAUCUCUCAAAUAUCUGAUCCCUCUCAGGGGCUUCAGACUAGUCAGAAAUAGCAGAGGAAAACCACUGGGCUAAGCACAAUUUAUUUAACCUUCCUACAAGCUUGGGAGGUGGAUUUUAUUGACACAUUUUCCAGAUGAGGAAACCAAGGCUCAGGUAAGCAACCUGCCCAAGGUCACACAUAAAUUAUGUUGAGCUAGGCUUGGAACCUAAUCUGUCUGCCUUCAGAUUCAUGUUCUUACCCACUGCAUGUGACUUGGGAACCUGGGAUUAGGGGAGCAGGAGGAGAACAUAAUAAAUCCUAUUCUAGUCUUGUCCUUACAUCCUGGGUCACUUUUAGCAAAGACAGACUGAGACAUUUUCCAGUAAUCCUAUAGACUUCCUUCCUCUUCUUCCUGCCCCCCACCACUGUAUUUAUCUCACCUUUCAAGUAGGUCCUAUACCAUCCCAUUUUAUAAUUGGGGAAGACUGAGGUUAAGUGAGUUGCUGGAGGUCACCGGUAAGGAAGGUGCCAAACAGAGACUGGGAACCAGAACUGUCCAGGUGGUUUCGAGUAGAACCCUCCCUCUGGCUGGAGACUCAGGAACACACAAUCCAUGGCAACUGAACCAGGGGGUGGGGUGUUACUAGAUGAUUUCUGGUCGACAACAUGGCCUCUGACUACAGGAAGGUACUUUCCAGGGACACUGAAGUUCCAGUCACUACCCCCUCCCCUGAAGCAAUCAUCCACAUCCCGCCAGACAUGGUGGCCACACUGGCUUCUGCAGAUGGGGCUGGAUGCAGAAGAAAACUCCAGUUGGUCCUUAGAGAUAUGGCAGGGCCUGGGUGCUGAAGGCCACUCUCUCACCUUGUCCUCACGGUCCAGUUUUCCCAGGAAUCCCUUAGAUGCUAAGAUGGGGAUUCCUGGAAAUACUGUUCUUGAGGUCAUGGUUUAACAGCUGGAUUCGCCUCCUUCCCACCCCAAGUUGCCCCCACGGGACUUGGGCUCAAGCACGGCAUGAGGUCACGUGGAAAGCCAUGCACUGGAGGUAAGAGGACUUGAGGACUGCGUUCUUGACCUUUAAAUUGCUUUUCUUUCCAUUUUGUCCAUUUCGCAACAUCCUGUGAGGCUGGAAUGGGAGCUUCACCUCUGUCCUACUCUUGGGAAAUUUGUCCAGACACUCAGUUGAGCAGUGGUUGAACCAGGACACCAUAAAGCUUGUGUCUCUUUCCACCUCCCCCAACCCCCAUCCCACUUCCCAGCAUGCCAAGCAGUGGUGGGGGUGGGGUCACAAUAUCAAAUCCACAUUAGUGAUAAAUAAAUAUAUGUGAAUUUAUUUUAAAAGUUCACUAGAUCAGUUAACGUAAACUAAAAAUCUGUAAGUUUUAGUUCGAUUUGGAAUACCACAGAAAAAGUUUGUAAUUUUUCAUCAAGGUAGAGAAGACAAAAAAGCUCAGACUGCCCUCUUGUGGUGACGCCUGCCACAACCCUGGAGAACCAGGAACACUGGGCUGUCCUACACACACACAUACACACACACACAGACUCCUUUUGAACCAGCUUAAGUCACACACACUCUCUCUCUCACACACACAAACACACAUACACAGAGACUACUUUUGAACCAGCUUAAGACCCAUCCAUCAUUUCAUUACCAAUGAUGUCUCCAUCAUUUAGUUUAACUCACAUUACCUGGCUUUGUCCUCAAAACUCCUGAAGGUCAGUGAGAUGGUGAAGUUCAGAGAGGUGAAGUGACCAGCCCCUGGUCACCCAGAUAACAUUAGGCAGAGCCAGGAUCUGUUCCGAGUUCAGUGACUCAGCCAAAAGUAAAAACUACAAACAUAAAAAAUAAAAGGAAGACAUCUGAAUAGAUGCAGAAAAUGCUGGCUGAAUACCAGAGGCCUGAUGUGGUCCAGGGGCAAUCCUAGAACUUUUCACAAAACCUUCUCAGUGCUUUUUAUGGAGUUUGUAGAGACAAGAGGUGCCAUGACCCCAGGGUCCUUCCUUUGGGGUCUAGUAGCCAUGUUCCUAGGGACCAGGUGGCUCCCACUUAUGUAUCAGGCUGUCUCUCUUAACAGGCCAGGCUGCAGACAAUUUACAAAGUAUCAGAUUCCCGUCCCUCUCCUCCUCAGAGACUGGAGCUGGUCUGACCAUGAAGAAAUCUGAUUUGCUCCAAAUGAUAAUAAUAGCUUCCACUUACUGAGUAUUUGCAACUUACCAGGCACUGUGUUAAACAUUUUCACAAGCAUUGUCCCAUUCAAUCCUCACAACAACUCAGUGAGAUAGGUUCUAUCACUUAUUCCACUUCACAGAUGAGGCAGCCAAGACACAGAGACGUUAAGAGACUUGUCGAAGAUCACACAGCUGACAGUUGUAAGACUGAGUCAAAUCAAGUCUGUGUUUAUACCUGUCACCUGCCCUUGCCCCCUCUCUACCAUUUGGCCUGGUCUGGCUGGUAGAGCUGUCUCCUGUGGCUUCCCCUGGGACAGAUGGUAAAAUAAAUCUUCAGUGAGACCCAAGCGGUCCCUCCUGUGUUCCGUGACUACAAUAAAGUGUGAGACCCUUGA